rnacentral:lncRNA from 1 species
GCAGAGUCUAAAGUAUGACCCCGGCUAGUCACAUGGAGACCGUUUUGUUUUGGUCUAUGUUUUGAAAGUAAAAAAAGGACAGUUUUUCUGCAUGAUUCCAAAAGUACAUUUGGACGUCUGAACACCUGCUGACUGUUGUUUGCUAACAGGGGUGUGACCCGCCUCCCAGUAAGCUGUCUGUGCAUUUUGGUAUUUCCUCCUGCCUUUUAGAAUUAACAGCUGCUUCACGGUUAACUGGGAAAGAGCAGGUGUGUUGGAGAUCGGAAGAGGAACCAGCAGUGGCCAACCUAAGCAGCACUGCUGUCCUUUGCACCGGAAAAGACCGACGGGAGGAGAAGAGGAGGGACAGACUCUGGUGAUUUAAGGUUGUCAUAAGGCUGCUUGCUGUGUUAGCCUAACCACUGGGCAUGAUUCCUGGAACCUCCAUAAAACCAGGAUAUGGUUACAGCUGUAAGCCCAGCAUUGCUCUGGUGAGAUGGGAGACUGAGACAGAAUGGGCCAGAGUCUCUGGGGCCAUCUGGCCUGGAGGCGAAGCACGGGAGAAACAGUAAGACAGACCUUAUCUCAAGGAGGUGAAAGAGCAAAUUCCACAGUCAAGAUGUUUACACUUGAGGUGACCAUUUUGGUUUCCCUGCACCCAGGGAAGGACGUUACAGUUCCUCCACUCAGGAACGCGCCCCUGAAUUUACUGUGGAACAGCAGGCUCUUGUAGAAGUCAUUACAGGCUCGGGGUAGCUCGGCAGAGCCUUGUGGUUUUCUUCUGGAUCAAACAGUCCUUGCUGAUUCGUGAGUGGUGGCUGCCGAGUGGACUGGACUGCAGCUGCUGAUUCAUGUUGGUGUUUUGUUAGAAGACUGGACUGCUGACAACGAAGAUUGGAAUCGCCCCAGAGAACUAUUUCUAAGCAGAUCCUGGUUGACAUACUUUGGUUAGCAUCAAUAGUGAGAAGCAAAACUACAGAAGCCCCAAAGCAAGACAUAGGCAUGUCCACGUGAGCAGGCGUAUGGAAAUCAUACAGCAAGUGUAUGGAAAUCAGAAGACAACUUUCUGGGCUUGAUCCUCCAUCACGUGGUUCCAGGGUUCAAACCCAAGGCAUCAGACUUGGCAGCUAACGCCUUUUCCACUGAGUCAACUUGCUAGCUACAAACUUGGAUUUUGUUUGUUUGUUUGAGACACAGUCUCACCAUGAAGCCUCAGUUGGCUUGGCACUCACUUUGUAGACCAGGUUGGCCUCCAAUUCAGAGAGCCAGCUGCAUCUGUCUCCAGGACGCAGGGGCUGAAGACAUAUGUCACCACACCUGUCAAAAACAAUACAAAACACAGCAGUCCGAUGCCGGGCUAACUUUAAUUCCAGCACCUGAGAAGCAAAGGCAGCUGGAGCUCCGAGUUCAAGACCAGCCUGGUCUACAGCCAGGGCUACACAGAGAAACCUGUCUUGGAAAACCCAAGCCAACAACAACAUGUUUUAAUAAUACUUUUUCCAAUGAUGUUUAGUCUAUGAAUAAGUGUUUGAUUAUUAUAUGACUCGGCUAAGAAGAUGAGUGCUUCUCCUCCAAGAGAAUACAGCUCAGAUCUGGGCAUUGGCGGGCAUCUUCAUUUAGCUUACUCAGUAAGAUAGAAAGAACAUUAGAACUCACGCAUUGAUCAGUGACAACAGUACUGUACGGAAGCAUAUGGGAGCUUACCAACAGCAGCCCAGUUUCUUGUGCUUCUUACCGCAGUGGCUGCUCUAGCUGCCCUUCCACUCCGAUCCGCUUCAUUAACAUUGUCUCUCCCAUAUGCAGCUUGCUUCCACGAGUUAAGCCUGAAGCUGAGGGUGUAGUUCAGCUGGUAGAGUGCUUGCGAACACACACAAAACCCUGACUUUGAUCCCCAGGACUGCACAAACCACAACAACGGGCUGGAGCCAUACCUAUACUCCCAGCCCCUGUGGAAACAGGGAGCUCAGAAGGCCAAAGUCAUAGCCGGCUACAGGGGAAGUCACAAGACCUUGUCCGCAAAUAAAUAAAGCUUUAUUGGAUCACAGCCAUGUCCAUCCUCUCUGUGUGGUCUGCGGUCACUUUUGUAGUAAGAGAUGAAUAACUGUUACAGAGACAAUGUGUUAGACAAAUCUACAAUAUUUCCUAGUUGACUACUUUGUUUGGGACACUGCCUCCCUGUGUAUCCCAGGCUGAUCUGGAACUAUGUAGCCCAGGCUGGCUUGGAACUCAGGCCUGCUUCUGCCUCUUGAGUGCUGAGAUUACAGGAAUUUAUCACUACAACCUGUUAGUAGUUGGCUUUUUUAUAUAUAUAUAUAAAAA